GAUGAACGCUGGCGGCGUGCCUAAUACAUGCAAGUAGAACGCUGAAGGAAGGAGCUUGCUCUUUCCGGAUGAGUUGCGAACGGGUGAGUAACGCGUAGGUAACCUGCCUGGUAGCGGGGGAUAACUAUUGGAAACGAUAGCUAAUACCGCAUAACAGUAGAUGUUGCAUGAUAUCUACUUAAAAGGUGCAAUUGCACCACUACCAGAUGGACCUGCGUUGUAUUAGCUAGUUGGUGAGGUAACGGCUCACCAAGGCGACGAUACAUAGCCGACCUGAGAGGGUGAUCGGCCACACUGGGACUGAGACACGGCCCAGACUCCUACGGGAGGCAGCAGUAGGGAAUCUUCGGCAAUGGACGGAAGUCUGGCCGAGCAACGCCGCGUGAGUGAAGAAGGUUUUCGGAUCGUAAAGCUCUGUUGUAAGAGAAGAACGAGUGUGAGAGUGGAAAGUUCACACUGUGACGGUAUCUUACCAGAAAGAGACGGCUAACUACGUG
rnacentral:rRNA from 1 species